rnacentral:rRNA from 1 species
GUUGAACGCUGGCGGCAGGCCUAAUACAUGCAAGUCGAGCGGAUGAGUGGAGCUUGCUCCAUGAUUCAGCGGCGGACGGGUGAGUAAUGCCUAGGAAUCUGCCUGGUAGUGGGGGACAACGUUUCGAAAGGAACGCUAAUACCGCAUACGUCCUACGGGAGAAAGUGGGGGAUCUUCGGACCCCACGCUAUCAGAUGAGCCUAGGUCGGAUUAGCUAGUUGGUGAGGUAAAGGCUCACCAAGGCGACGAUCCGUAACUGGUCUGAGAGGAUGAUCAGUCACACUGGAACUGAGACACGGUCCAGACUCCUACGGGAGGCAGCAGUGGGGAAUAUUGGACAAUGGGCGAAAGCCUGAUCCAGCCAUGCCGCGUGUGUGAAGAAGGUCUUCGGAUUGUAAAGCACUUUAAGUUGGGAGGAAGGGCAGUAAGUUAAUACCUUGCUGUUUUGACGUUACCAACAGAAUAAGCACCGGCUAACUUCGUGCCAGCCGCCGCCGUAAUAC